CUCGAGGAGAGAAUCCUAAGGUGCUCGAGUGAUCCGUGGCUAAGGAACUAGGCAAAUUGAACCUGUAACUUCGGGAUAAAGGUUCCCCUGUUUAUCAAUGGGGGCGCAGAGAAAUGGCCCUGGCGACUGUUUAACAAAAACACAAGGCUUUGCGAAAUUGAAAGAUGAAGUAUAAGGCCUGACACCUGCCCGGUGCCGGAAGGUUAAGAGGGGGAGUCAUUCUCAGCAAUGGGAAGAAGCUCUGAAUCGAAGCCCCGGUAAACGGCGGCCGUAACAAUAACGGUCCUAAGGUAGCGAAAUUCCUUGUCGGGUAAGUUCCGACCUGCACGAAUGGUGUAACGAUCUGGGCACUGUCUCAGCCACGAGCUCGGUGAAAUUGUAGUUCCGGUGAAGAUGCCGGAUACCCGCAACGGGACGGAAAGACCCCGUGAACCUUUACUAUAGCUUAACAUUGAUUUUGGGUAAGUGAUGUGUAGGAUAGGUCGGAGACUGUGAACCGGUUUCGCCAGGAAUCGGGGAGUCAACGUUGAAAUACGACCCUUCAUUUACCUGGAAUCUAAUCCGUCAACCGACGGAAACAUUGUUUGGUGGGUAGUUUGACUGGGGUGGUCGCCUCCAAAAAAGUAACGGAGGCUCCUCAAGGUGCCCUCAGCACGAUUGGUAACCGUGCGGAGAGUGUAAUGGCACAAGGGCGCUUGACUGUGAGACUGACAAGUCGAUCAGGUACGAAAGUAGAGCAUAGUGAUCCGGUGGUUCCGUAUGGAAGGGCCAUCGCUCAAAGGAUAAAAGGUACUCCGGGGAUAACAGGCUGAUCGCCGCCAAGAGCUCAUAUCGACGCGGCGGUUUGGCACCUCGAUGUCGGCUCGUCACAUCCUGGGGCUGAAGAAGGUCCCAAGGGUUCGGCUGUUCGCCGAUUAAAGUGGCACGCGAGCUGGGUUCAGAACGUCGUGAGACAGUUCGGUCCCUAUCUGUUGUGGGCGCUGGAGAUUUGAGAGAAACUGAUACUAGUACGAGAGGACCGUGUUGGACAGACCGCUAGUGUACCUGUUGUGGCGCCAGCUGCAUCGCAGGGUAGCUAUGUUUGGAACAGAUAAGCACUGAAAGCAUCUAAGUGCGAAGCUCGUCUCAAGAUGAGAUCUCCCUUAAGGGUCGUUGUAGACUACGACGUUGAUAGGCUGCAGGUGUAAAGGUGGCAACAUCAAAGCUGAGCAGUACUAAUUACCG
rnacentral:rRNA from 1 species